rnacentral:rRNA from 1 species
UACGGAGGGGGCUAGCGUUGUUCGGAAUUACUGGGCGUAAAGCGCGCGUAGGCGGCUUUGUAAGUUAGAGGUGAAAGCCCGGGGCUCAACUCCGGAAUUGCCUUUGAUACUGAGGAUCUUGAGUUCGGGAGAGGUGAGUGGAACUGCGAGUGUAGAGGUGAAAUUCGUAGAUAUUCGCAAGAACACCAGUGGCGAAGGCGGCUCACUGGCCCGAUACUGACGCUGAGGCACGAAAGCGUGGGGAGCAAACAGG